rnacentral:rRNA from 1 species
UAGCAAUACGGCAGCGGCAGACGGGAGAGUAACACGUGGGAACGCGCCCUUUCGGUUCGGGAUAACCCAGGGAAACUUGGGCUAAUACCGGAUACGCCCUUACGGGGAAAGAUUUAUUGCCGAAGGAACGGCCCGCGUCCGAUUAGCUAGUUGGUGAGGUAAUGGCUCACCAAGGCGACGAUCGGUAGCUGGUCUGAGAGGAUGACCAGCCUCACUGGGACUGAGACACGGCCCAGACUCCUACGGGAGGCAGCAGUGGGGAAUAUUGGACAAUGGGCGCAAGCCUGAUCCAGCCAUGCCGCGUGGGUGAUGAAGGCCCUAGGG